rnacentral:rRNA from 1 species
AACGAACGCUGGCGGCAUGCCUAACACAUGCAAGUCGAACGAGACCUUCGGGUCUAGUGGCGCACGGGUGCGUAACGCGUGGGAACCUGCCCUUAGGUUCGGAAUAACUCCCCGAAAGGGGUGCUAAUACCGGAUAAUGUCUUCGGACCAAAGAUUUAUCGCCUUUGGAUGGGCCCGCGUUGGAUUAGCUAGUUGGUAGGGUAAAAGCCUACCAAGGCGACGAUCCAUAGCUGGUCUGAGAGGAUGAUCAGCCACACUGGGACUGAGACACGGCCCAGAAUCCUACGGGAGGCAGCAGUGGGGAAUAUUGGAAAGUGGGCGAAAGCCUGAUCCAGCAAUGCCGCGUGAGUGAUGAAGGCCUUAGGGUUGUAAAGCUCUUUUACCCGGGAUGAUAAUGACAGUACCGGGAGAAUAAGCUCCGGCUAACUCCGUG